rnacentral:misc_RNA from 1 species
GAUGAAGAACGUAGUGAAAUGCGAUAAGUAAUGUGAAUUGCAGAAUUCAGUGAAUCAUCGAAUCUUUGAACGCACAUUGCGCCCGCUGGUAUUCCGGCGGGCAUGCCUGUUCGAGCGUCAUUUCAACCCUCAAGCUCUCCGGAGUUUGGUGUUGGGGCGCCUGGGGCUUUUCGACCUCAGGGCCCUCAAGUCCAUCGGCGGGACCGCCAGGACACUGAGCGCAGUAGUAUUAUUUCGCUCGGUAGGAUCUUCCACGGCGGGUCGAUCUGGCCGCUAAACCCCCCAAUUCUCACCAAAGGUUGACCUCGGAUCAGGUAGGAAUACCCGCUGGACUUAAGCAUAUCAAUAAGCGGAGGA